rnacentral:ncRNA from 1 species
GUUUUCGGCAUCGUUACUUUGACACAAUUAGAGUGCUCAAAGCAAGCCAUCGCUCUGGAUACAUUAGCAUGGGAUAACAUCAUAGGAUUCCGGUCCUAUUGUGUUGGCCUUCGGGAUCGGAGUAAUGAUUAAUAGGGACAGUCGGGGGCAUUCG